rnacentral:tRNA from 1 species
UGUUAUGUGGCUUAGUUGGUUAAAGCGCCGGUCUAGCGAAUACGGUCGUGGGUUCAAAUCCCACCAGAACGU